UACGGAGGGUGCAAGCGGUGAUCGGAUUCAUUGGGCGUAAAGGGCGCGUAGGCGGGAAUAUAAGUCGAACGUGAAAGACAGGAGCUUAACUUCGGAACAGCAUACGAAACUGUAUUUCUUGAGGGUAGGUGGGGAAAGCGGAAUUCCAGGUGUAGCGGUGAAAUGCGUAGAUAUGUGGAGGAACACCGGUGGCGAAGGCGGCUUUCUAACUUAUUACCUGACGCUGAGGCGCGAAAGCGAGGGGAGCAAACAGG
rnacentral:rRNA from 1 species